CGUAGGUAACCUGCCUUGUAGCGGGGGAUAACUAUUGGAAACGAUAGCUAAUACCGCAUAACAAUGGAUGACACAUGUCAUUUAUUUGAAAGGGGCAAUUGCUCCACUACAAGAUGGACCUGCGUUGUAUUAGCUAGUAGGUGAGGUAAUGGCUCACCUAGGCGACGAUCCCUAGCUGGUCUGAGAGGAUGACCAGCCACACUGGAACUGAGACACGGUCCAGACUCCUACGGGAGGCAGCAUG
rnacentral:rRNA from 1 species